rnacentral:rRNA from 1 species
CCCACUGCUAUCGGGACGGGACUAAGACAUGCUAGUCGUACAACUUCGAGCUAUGUCGAAGAAGUGGCAUACAGCUCAGUAACACGUGGCUAACCUACCCUUGAGACGGCAAUACCCUCGGAAAACUGAGGCUAAUGGCUGAUGGGUGAAAAAUUCUGGAAUGAUUUUUCGCUGAAAGGGCAUUGUGAACAUGCUUUGCAGUUCCGCCCAAGGAUGGGGCCGCGGCCGAUCAGGUUGUUGGUGAGGUAACGGCUCACCAAGCCAUUGACCGGUACGGGCCGUGAGAGCGGUAGCCCGGAGAUGGGCACUGAGAUAAGGGCCCAGGCCCUACGGGGCGCAGCAGUCACGAAACCUCCGCAAUGCACGCAAGUGUGACGGGGCUAUCCCGAGUGUCAUCCGUUGAGGAUGACUUUUCUAUAUUGUAAAUAGUUAUAGGAAUAAGGAGAGGGCAAGACUGGUGUCAGCCGCCGCGGUAAUACCAGCUCUCCGAGUGGUGGGGAUGUUUAUUGGGCCUAAAGCAUUCGUAGCCGGUUAAGUUAGUCUUCUGUUAAAGCCACCGACUCAAUCGUUGGAUUGCAGGAGAUACUGCUUGACUAGGGGACGGGAGAGGUCGACGGUAUUUCAGGGGUAGGGGUGAAAUCCUAUAAUCCCUGAAAGACCACCAGUGGCGAAGGCUGUCGACUAGAACGCGCCCGACGGUGAGGGAUGAAAGCUAGGGGAGCGAACCGGAUUAGAUACCCGGGUAGUCCUAGCUGUAAACGAUGCAGGCUAGGUGUUAGAGUGGCUACGUGCCACCCUAGUGCCGCAGGGAAGCUAUUAAGCCUGCCGCCUGGGGAGUACGGCCGCAAGGCUGAAACUUAA